ensembl:misc_RNA Metazoa_SRP Metazoan signal recognition particle RNA
GCCGGGCAUGGUGGCUCAUGCCUGUAAUCCCAGCACUUUGGGAGGCUGAGGUGGGUGGAUUACCUGAGGUCAGGAGUUCGAGACCAGCCUGGCCAAUAUGGUGAAUCCCCAUCUCUA